rnacentral:rRNA from 1 species
GGGCGAGCCUGAUCCAGCCAUGCCCGCGUGAGCUGAAGAAGGUCUUCGGAUUGUAAAGCACCUUUAAGUUGGGAGGAAGGGCAUUAACCUAAUACGGUUAGUGCUUUGACGUUACCGACAGAAUAAGCACCGGCUAACUCUGUGCCAGCAGCCCGCGGUAAUAA